rnacentral:rRNA from 1 species
CGUAGAUAAUCUACCCUUGUGUUGGGGAUAGCUUAUGGAAACAUAGGGUAAUACCGAAUACGGUCUUAGAAUCGAUAGGGUUUUAAGAAGAAAGGUGCUACGGCAUCGCACGAGGAGGAGUCUGCGGUAGAUUACUAGUUGGUAAGGUAAAGGCUUACCAAGGCGACGAUCUAUAGCCGGCCUGAGAGGGUGAACGGCCACACUGGGACUGAAACGGCCCAGACUCCUACGGGAGGCAGCAGCUAAGAAUCUUCCGCAAUGGACGAAAGUCUGACGGAGCGACGCCGCGUGAACGAAGAAGGCAGAGAUGUUGUAAAGUUCUUUUAUCAGGGAGGAAUAAUGAGAGGAGGGAAUGCCUUUCAGAUGACGUUAACUGAUGAAUAACCCCGGCAAAUUACGUGCCAGCAGCCGCGGUAACACGUGAGGGGCGAGCGUUGUUCGGAAUUAUUGGGCGUAAAGGGCGCGUAGCGGUUUUGCAGUCUGAUGUAAAAGGUGUGGGCUUAACCCGCACAAGCGUUGGAAACUGUAAACUAGGUAAUUGAGGGGGA